ACUCCUACGGGAGGCAGCAGUGGGGAAUAUUGCACAAUGGGCGCAAGCCUGAUGCAGCCAUGCCGCGUGUGUGAAGAAGGCCUUCGGGUUGUAAAGCACUUUCAGUCGUGAGGAAGGUAGUGUAGUUAAUAGCUGCAUUAUUUGACGUUAGCGACAGAAGAAGCACCGGCUAACUCCGUGCCAGCAGCCGCGGUAAUACGUAGGGUACGAGCGUUGUCCGGAAUUAUUGGGCGUAAAGAGCUCGUAGGUGGUUGGUCACGUCUGCUGUGGAAAACGCAACGCUUAACGUUGCGCGUGCAGUGGGUACGGGCUGACUAGAGUGCAGUAGGGGAGUCUGGAAUUCCUGGUGUAGCGGUGAAAUGCGCAGAUAUCAGGAGGAACACCGGUGGCGAAGGCGGGACUCUGGGCUGUAACUGACACUGAGGAGCGAAAGCAUGGGGAGCGAACAGGAUUAGAUACCCUGGUAGCUACGAGU
rnacentral:rRNA from 1 species